rnacentral:piRNA from 1 species
UAGCUUCUCAGAGGGUAAAGGCCAC